rnacentral:rRNA from 1 species
AGAGUUUGAUCCUGGCUCAGGACGAACGCUGGCGGCGUGCUUAAUACAUGCAAGUCAGACGAGAACGUUUCCUUCGGGGAGCUAGUACAGUGGCGAACGGGUGAGUAACACGUAGGUAACCUGCCCUCAGGUGGGGAAUAACCCUGUCAACAUGGGGCUAAUACCGCAUAUGGCAGCGGAUUCGCAUGGAUUUGCUGUUAAAGCGGGAGAUCCUUCGGGACCUCGCGCCUGAGGAUGGGCCUGCGGUCCAUUAGCUUGUUGGUGAGGUAACGGCUCACCAAGGCUGCGAUGGAUAGCCGACCUGAGAGGGUGAUCGGCCACACUGGGACUGAGAUACGGCCCAGACUCCUACGGGAGGCAGCAGUAGGGAAUUUUGCGCAAUGGCCUCACGGCUGACGCAGCAACGCCGCGUGACCGAUGAAGUCCUACGGGGCGUAAAGGUCUGUUAGGAGGGAAGAACGAUAUCGAUGUUAAUAAUUUCGAUAUGUGACUGUACCUCCAGAGAAAGCACCGGCUAACUCCGUGCCAGCAGCCGCGGUAAUACGGGGGGUGCCAGCGUUGUCCGGAAUCACUGGGCGUAAAGGGUGUGUAGGCGGAUUAGUAAGUCCGACGUGCAAUCCAUCUGCUCAACAGAUGACUUGCGUUGGAUACUGCUAAUCUUGAGUCACGCAGAGGAAGGUGGAAUUCCUGGUGUAGCGGUGAAAUGUGUAGAUAUCAGGAAGAACACCGGUAGCGAAGGCGGCCUUCUGGGCGUUGACUGACGCUGAGACACGAAAGCGUGGGGAGCAAACAGGAUUAGAUACCCUGGUAGUCCACGCUGUAAACGAUGAACACUAGGUGUUGGAGAGCUCAUACUCUUCAGUGCCGCAGCUAACGCAUUAAGUGUUCCGCCUGGGGAGUACGAUCGCAAGGUUGAAACUCAAAGGAAUUGACGGGGGCCCGCACAAGCGGUGGAGCAUGUGGUUUAAUUCGAUCAACGCGAAGAACCUUACCGGGGCUUGAAAUGCAGUGGACAUUCCGGGAAACCGGAUUCCCUUCGGGGCUGCUGUACAGGUGCUGCAUGGCUGUCGUCAGCUCGUGUCGUGAGAUGUUGGGUUAAGUCCCGCAACGAGCGCAACCCUUGCCCUUAAUUGCCAUCAGUUCGGCUGGGAACUUUAAGGGGACUGCUGACUCUUAAGUCGGAGGAAGGUGGGGAUGACGUCAAGUCC